CUUCUAGGACGACCUAGAGGACAACGCCUAGAGGACGACCUC
rnacentral:ncRNA from 1 species